AACAACAUCACACAAAUCCCAUGCACCGGCUUGCUGCAUGCCUUCGUAGCACUGCUAAGGAAUUGAGGAAAUGGAGCAAAUCAAUUAUUAGUGAUGUAGCUUUACAACUUGCUCUAGCCAAUGAGGUUAUUUUGCAACUCGACAUUGCGCAAGAGAAUCGUCCACUCUCGGUGGAUGAACAAGAUCUUAGAAGAAAGCUAAAAAUCCGAGUCCUAGGUCUUGCGGCCGUAGACAAAGCAAGAAAACGUCAAGCUUCUAGAAUCACUUGGCUUAAAGUUGGAGAUGCAAGUUGAAGGACCGGAACGGCAACCGGAGGGGUUGAAUGAGUGCCUUUAAAAUUCUUCUCGGAGAAUAAGGUCUAUGUCCUAAUUGUCACUCAAAAACACACCUCGCGUCAAUUCGUCAAGACGACACAAGUUAACUCAUGAUAAGCUCACCCUAGGAAAGAUUUGACACGCUUAAGACAUAGCGGGAGCAAAGCAUAAAGUGACUCCAACAAGCUUGCACAAACGAGAUUAAGUAAGACCACUGCUAAUUACUUACUCAACUAAGCAUGCAAGGAAAAACGAUUAAUUUAAAGAGCUAAGCAUGAUUAUCAAAUAAGAGUUCAAAUUAAGUAGCUAAAGCAAGUAACAUUAAUUAACUAACUAAUUGCAAGAAUUAACGAAAAAAACGAGCUCACAGUGCUACCGUAGAUGAAGCUGGGCCUGCUGCUCCUGUCUCUCUUGACCGGCCUGCUGUGAAGCCACGGCCUGCUUUGCGCCAGCCUGGGCUGCCUGCUUCGCCUCUCCUGCUCGUGGGCCUGCACACUGCUGGGCUGGAUGGACCUGCUCUCGCUUCACUGGGCCGCUGGAUGCGCUGGCUUGGCC
rnacentral:lncRNA from 1 species